GGGGGCCUCUAACAAUUUUGAUCAUGUUGACUUAUUUGUAGAUCUUACUUUGCUGAACAUUAUUGCUGUUUACAGUUUAUCUCUAUCUAUAAUAGUAAUCAAGAUAAUAACCAAAAACUGCAAAAUUUCCUUAAAAUUACCAAUUUUAGGGCAGCAACCCAACAACGGGUUGUCGGAUUCAUCUGAAAAUGUGUAAGGGGAUAGAUCUU
rnacentral:lncRNA from 1 species